AGUGAACGCUGGCGGUAGGCCUAACACAUGCAAGUCGAACGGCAGCACAGUAAGAGCUUGCUCUUACGGGUGGCGAGUGGCGGACGGGUGAGGAAUACAUCGGAAUCUACUUUUACGUGGGGGAUAACGUAGGGAAACUUACGCUAAUACCGCAUACGACUUACGGGUGAAAGCAGGGGAUCUUCGGACCUUGCGCGAUUGAAUGAGCCGAUGUCGGAUUAGCUAGUUGGCGGGGUAAAGGCCCACCAAGGCGACGAUCCGUAGCUGGUCUGAGAGGAUGAUCAGCCACACUGGAACUGAGACACGGUCCAGACUCCUACGGGAGGCAGCAGUGGGGAAUAUUGGACAAAGGGCGCAAGCCUGAUCCAGCCAUACCGCGUGGGUGAAGAAGGCCUUCGGGUUGUAAAGCCCUUUUGUUGGGAAAGAAAAGCAGCAGGUUAAUACCCCGCUGUUCUGACGGUACCCAAAGAAUAAGCACCGGCUAACUUCGUG
rnacentral:rRNA from 1 species